rnacentral:rRNA from 1 species
AACGAACGCUGGCGGCAGGCUUAACACAUGCAAGUCGAGCGAGGACUUCGGUCCUAGUGGCGGACGGGUGAGUAACGCGUGGGAACGUGCCCUUUGGUUCGGAAUAGCCCUGGGAAACUGGGAGUAAUGCCGAAUAAGCUCUACGGAGGAAAGAUUUAUCGCCAAAGGAUCGGCCCGCGUUGGAUUAGGUAGUUGGUGGGGUAAUGGCCUACCAAGCCGACGAUCCAUAGCUGGUUUGAGAGGAUGAUCAGCCACACUGGGACUGAGACACGGCCCAGACUCCUACGGGAGGCAGCAGUGGGGAAUCUUGGACAAUGGGGGCAACCCUGAUCCAGCCAUGCCGCGUGAUCGAUGAAGGCCUUAGGGUUGUAAAGAUCUUUCAGCUGGGAAGAUAAUGACGGUACCAGCAGAAGAAGCCCCGGCUAACUCCGUG